rnacentral:rRNA from 1 species
GACAGAGGGUGCAAACGUUGUUCGGAAUUACUGGGCGUAAAGCGUGCGCAGGCGGCUUUGCAAGACAGAUGUGAAAUCCCCGGGCUUAACCUGGGAACUGCAUUUGUGACUGCAUGGCUGGAGUGCGGCAGAGGGGGAUGGAAUUCCGCGUGUAGCAGUGAAAUACGUAGAUAUGCGGAGGAACACCGAUGGCGAAGGCAAUCCCCUGGGCCUGCACUGACGCUCAUGCACGAAAGCGUGGGGAGCAAACAGG